ensembl:lncRNA
AGAUAUUCAGGACAGAAAGAGUGUGAGUUCUGGAAAGCAAGUGGAGACCAGGCCGCGCCAUCACUAUCGGAGGGAAGUUAAGAGACCUGAUCUGGGACUUCGAUCAAUUGUAUACAUCUGGACUGGGAGUGUUAACGUUGUGAAGUGGACGGAGCCAUCGUUGGGUGAGUGCUGGCUCUAUUUGCACUAAGAGUGGGUGUGCCGUGUCUGAAGUGGUGUGUCUGCACAAUAAAUCGUUUGAAGUGAAGUUACAGAGUGUGGGGAAGAUAUGUAGAGUUAAUGCCGGACGCUCACCACCCCGAGAGCCCACCACCGUCACCGUAAUCCACACCCAGGCACUGACCGAAGCAUCUCCCAGCCGUAAGCCCCAUUACUUAUUCAAGAACACCUACUUACUGUUGAUUACUUACUCUGCUGUGCAGAUCGCAGGAUCCUCUGGGCUGAACGCCGCAUGUGAUGUCCCUAUGAAAGGAGGUGGACACACGAAUUAUUCCUUUCUCGGUCUUAACUGAAGCAUCUCCCAGCCGUAAGCCCAUCACCCAUUAAAGACUACAUACCUGCUGUCGAUUGCUUACUCUGCUGUGCAGAUCGUAGGAUCCCCUGGGACGAAUGCUGCAUGUGAUGUCCCUAUGAAAAGAGAUUGCAGGAUCCUCUGGGCUGGACGCUGCAUGUGAUGUCCCUGUAAAAGGAGGUGGACACGAGAAUUAUUCCUUUUCCCGGUCUCGACCGAAACAUCCACGAGCUCUACUUACCCGGAUAUCCCCCCCUCAUUCCGGGACGGGUGACAGACUAUCCUGGCUCUUGCCGGCCCCGUACAGGCACGAACUGCCGACGACUCCACGCCUCCCCGGCGUCCGAGGUCUGGCUUCGUUCUGGUCGGGAGACACG